rnacentral:rRNA from 1 species
UGGGGAAUAUUGCACAAUGGAGGGAACUCUGAUGCAGCGACGCCGCGUGAACGAAGAAGGCUUUCGAGUCGUAAAGUUCUUUUAUAUGGGAAGAUAAUGACGGUACCAUAAGAAAAAGCCCCGGCUAACUACGUGCCAGCAGCCGCGGUAAUACGUAGGGGGCUAGCGUUGUCCGGAAUCACUGGGCGUAAAGGGUUCGCAGGCGGGAAUGCAAGUCAGGUGUAAAAGGCAGUAGCUUAACUACUGUAAGCAUUUGAAACUGCAUAUCUUGAGAAGAGUAGAGGUAAGUGGAAUUUUUAGUGUAGCGGUGAAAUGCGUAGAUAUUAAAAAGAAUACCGGUGGCGAAGGCGACUUACUGGGCUCAUUCUGACGCUGAGGAACGAAAGCGUGGGUAGCAAACAGG